GAUGAACGCUGGCGGCAGGCCUAACACAUGCAAGUCGAACGGUAGCACAGAGAGCUUGCUCUCGGGUGACGAGUGGCGGACGGGUGAGUAACGUCUGGGAAACUGCCCGAUGGAGGGGGAUAACUACUGGAAACGGUAGCUAAUACCGCAUAACGUCGCAAGACCAAAGUGGGGGACCUUCGGGCCUCACACCAUCGGAUGUGCCCAGAUGGGAUUAGCUAGUAGGUGGGGUAAUGGCUCACCUAGGCGACGAUCCCUAGCUGGUCUGAGAGGAUGACCAGCCACACUGGAACUGAGACACGGUCCAGACUCCUACGGGAGGCAGCAGUGGGGAAUAUUGCACAAUGGGCGCAAGCCUGAUGCAGCCAUGCCGCGUGUAUGAAGAAGGCCUUCGGGUUGUAAAGUACUUUCAGCGGGGAGGAAGGCGGUGAAGUUAAUAGCUUCACCGAUUGACGUUACCCGCAGAAGAAGCACCGGCUAACUCCGUGCCAGCCGCCGCCGUAA
rnacentral:rRNA from 1 species